GGGGGGAACGCGAAGAACCUUACCCAGGCUCGAACGGCAAUUGACAUCCGGUGAAAGCCGGCUCCCGCAAGGGCACUCGUAGAGGUGCUGCAUGGCUGUCGUCAGCUCGUGUCGUGAGAUGUUGGGUUAAGUCCCGCAACGAGCGCAACCCUCGUUCCAUGUUGCCAGCGGGUAAUGCCGGGGACUCAUAGGAGACUGCCGGGGUCAACUCGGAGGAAGGUGGGGAUGACGUCAAGUCAUCAUGCCCCUUAAGUCUAGGGCUUCACGCAUGCUACAAUGGCUGGUACAAAGGGCUGCAAUACCGCAAGGUGGAGCGAAUCCCAAAAGGCCAGUCUCAGUUCGGAUUGGGGUCUGCAACUCGACCCCAUGAAGUCGGAGUCGCUAGUAAUCGCAGAUCAGCAACGCUGCGGUGAAUACGUUCCCGGGUCUUGUACACACGC
rnacentral:rRNA from 1 species